rnacentral:rRNA from 1 species
GACGAACGCUGGCGGCGUGCUUAACACAUGCAAGUCGAACGGAAAGGCCCUGCUUUUGUGGGGUGCUCGAGUGGCGAACGGGUGAGUAACACGUGAGUAACCUGCCCUUGACUUUGGGAUAACUUCAGGAAACUGGGGCUAAUACCGGAUAGGAGCUCCUGCUGCAUGGUGGGGGUUGAAAAGUUUCGGCGGUUGGGGAUGGACUCGCGGCUUAUCAGCUUGUUGGUGGGGUAGUGGCUUACCAAGGCUUUGACGGGUAGCCGGCCUGAGAGGGUGACCGGCCACAUUGGGACUGAGAUACGGCCCAGACUCCUACGGGAGGCAGCAGUGGGGAAUAUUGCACAAUGGGCGGAAGCCUGAUGCAGCAACGCCGCGUGCGGGAUGACGGCCUUCGGGUUGUAAACCGCUUUCGCCUGUGACGAAGCGUGAGUGACGGUAAUGGGUAAAGAAGCACCGGCUAACUACGUGCCAGCAGCCGCGGUGAUACGUAGGGUGCGAGCGUUGUCCGGAUUUAUUGGGCGUAAAGGGCUCGUAGGUGGUUGAUCGCGUCGGAAGUGUAAUCUUGGGGCUUAACCCUGAGCGUGCUUUCGAUACGGGUUGACUUGAGGAAGGUAGGGGAGAAUGGAAUUCCUGGUGGAGCGGUGGAAUGCGCAGAUAUCAGGAGGAACACCAGUGGCGAAGGCGGUUCUCUGGGCCUUUCCUGACGCUGAGGAGCGAAAGCGUGGGGAGCGAACAGGCUUAGAUACCCUGGUAGUCCACGCUGUAAACGGUGGGUACUAGGUGUGGGGUCCAUUCCACGGGUUCCGUGCCGUAGCUAACGCUUUAAGUACCCCGCCUGGGGAGUACGGCCGCAAGGCUAAAACUCAAAGGAAUUGACGGGGCCCCGCACAAGCGGCGGAGCAUGCGGAUUAAUUCGAUGCAACGCGUAGAACCUUACCUGGGUUUGACAUGGAUCGGGAGUGCUCAGAGAUGGGUGUGCCUCUUUUGGGGUCGGUUCACAGGUGGUGCAUGGCUGUCGUCAGCUCGCGUCGUGAGAUGUUGGGUUAAGUCCCGCAACGAGCGCAACCCUUGUUCACUGUUGCCAGCACGUUAUGGUGGGGACUCAGUGGAGACCGCCGGGGUCAACUCGGAGGAAGGUGGGGAUGACGUCAAGUCAUCAUGCCCCUUAUGUCCAGGGCUUCACGCAUGCUACAAUGGCUGGUACAGUGAGUGGCGAGCCUGUGAGGGUGAGCGAAUCUCGGAAAGCCGGUCUCAGUUCGGAUUGGGGUCUGCAACUCGACCUCAUGAAGUCGGAGUCGCUAGUAAUCGCAGAUCAGCAACGCUGCGGUGAAUAAGUUCCCGGGGCU